GUGAAGGCAUCCACCAGCCCUGUUGCAUAUGAGAAACUUAAGAAUAUUCUUCUCAAAGAUGAAGAUAUCGUUCAUGCCUUUCGGAAACAGGAG